ACUGCUCAGUAACACGUAGCUAACCUACCCUUAGGACGUGGAUACCCCCGAGAAAUUGGGGUUAAUCCGCGAUAGAUGUAAUGUCCUGGAAUGGUAUUACGACUAAAGGUAUUUCAUACAUGUUUGAAAUAUGCCUAAGGAUGGGGCUGCGGCCGAUCAGGCUGUUGGUGAGGUAAUGGCUCACCAAACCUUUGACCGGUACGGGCCAUGAGAGUGGUAGCCCGAAGAUGGACACUGAGACAAGGGUCCAGGCCCUAAGGGGCGCAGUAACCGCGAAACCUCCACAAUGCACUCACGUGCGAUGGGGCUAUCUCGAGUGCCACCUGAUGAAGGUGGCUUUUCCUAGGUCUUCAAAGCCUUGGGAAUAAGAGGGGGGCAAGACUGGUGUCAGCCGCCGCGGUAACACCAGCCCCUCGAGUGGUGGGGAUGAUUAUUUGGCCUAAAGCGUCCGUAGCCGGCCGUGUAAGUCUUCCGUUAAAUCCAGCGUCUCAAGCGUUGGACUGCGGGAGAUACUGUACGGCUAGAGAGUGGGAGAGGUCAGCGGUAUUCUGGGGGUGGGGGCGAAAUCCUUUGAUCCCCGGAGGACCACCAGUGGCGAAGGCUGCUGACUAGAACACGUCUGACGGUCAGGGACGAAAGCUGGGGUAGCGAACCGGAUUAGAUACCCGGGUAGUCCCAGCCGUAAACGAUGCAUGCUAGGUGUUGGGUUGGCCACGCGCCACCCCAGUGCCGCAGGGAAGCCGUUAAGCAUGCCGCCUGGGAAGUACGAUCGCAAGAUUGAAACUUAAAGGAAUUGGCGGGGGAGCACCACCAGGCGUGAAGCCUGCGGUUUAAUUGGAGUCAACGCCGGA
rnacentral:rRNA from 1 species